GCAGUGUAGUAUAAUGGUUAAGGAGUUGGUCUUGUAACCUAAAGGUCAGAGGUUCGAUUCCCCGGUAGGGCACUGCA
rnacentral:tRNA from 1 species